CGUCCUGAACGAUAGGGUGCGGUGACCUUCUUCGACACGAUGCCCUCAAGCGACAACGCGCGCGCGGAUUCCAUGAUGGCGUUGCCGUUGGACUCGAAAUGCUCGACGUAACGGAUGGNUGCCGUCGAGCAGAAGCUUGAGCCGUUUCUUUCGCUCUGACAGUGGAAGCGGCCGCAAAUCUUCACCUUCCGCGAACAGGAGGUCGAACGCGAAGAAAAUCAAAUCGCUGGUCUUUUCGUCCGACAGUGCUGCCUGUAACGAGG
rnacentral:misc_RNA from 1 species